AACGCUGGCGGCGUGCUAAUACAUGCAAGUAGAACGCUGAAGGAGGAGCUUGCUCUUCUGGAAGAGUUGCGAACGGGUGAGUAACGCGUAGGUAACCUACCUGGUAGCGGGGGAUAACUAUUGGAAACGAUAGCUAAUACCGCAUAAGAUUGAAUAUCGCGUGAUAAUUGAUUAAAAGAUGCAAAUGCAUCACUACCAGAUGGACCUGCGUUGUAUUAGCUAGUAGGUGAGGUAACGGCUCACCUAGGCGACGAUACAUAGCCGACCUGAGAGGGUGAUCGGCCACACUGGGACUGAGACACGGCCCAGACUCCUACGGGAGGCAGCAGUAGGGAAUCUUCGGCAAUGGGGGCAACCCUGACCGAGCAACGCCGCGUGAGUGAAGAAGGUUUUCGGAUCGUAAAGCUCUGUUGUAAGAGAAGAACGAGUGUGAGAGUGGAAAGUUCACACUGUGACGGUAUCUUACCAGAAAGGGACGGCUAACUACGUGCCAGCAGCCGCGGUAAUACGUAGGUCCCGAGCGUUGUCCGGAUUUAUUGGGCGUAAAGCGAGCGCAGGCGGUUAGAUAAGUCUGAAGUUAAAGGCUGUGGCUUAACCAUAGUACGCUUUGGAAACUGUUUAACUUGAGUGCAGAAGGGGAGAGUGGAAUUCCAUGUGUAGCGGUGAAAUGCGUAGAUAUAUGGAGGAACACCGGUGGCGAAAGCGGCUCUCUGGUCUGUAACUGACGCUGAGGCUCGAAAGCGUGGGGAGCGAACAGGAUUAGAUACCCUGGUAGUCCACGCCGUAAACGAUGAGUGCUAGGUGUUAGGCCCUUUCCGGGGCUUAGUGCCGUAGCUAACGCAUUAAGCACUCCGCCUGGGAGUACAA
rnacentral:rRNA from 1 species